rnacentral:rRNA from 1 species
UACGUAGGGUGCAAGCGUUGUCCGGAAUUAUUGGGCGUAAAGAGCUCGUAGGCGGUUUGUCGCGUCUGCUGUGAAAACGCGAGGCUCAACCUCGCGCCUGCAGUGGGUACGGGCAGACUAGAGUGCGGUAGGGGAGAUUGGAAUUCCUGGUGUAGCGGUGGAAUGCGCAGAUAUCAGGAGGAACACCGAUGGCGAAGGCAGAUCUCUGGGCCGUAACUGACGCUGAGGAGCGAAAGCUGGGGAGCGAACAGG